rnacentral:rRNA from 1 species
UACCCAAUCCCGAUUCGGGGAGGUAGUGACAAUAAAUAACAAUACAGGGCCAACGGUCUUGUUAUUGGAAUGAGAACAAUUUAAAUAACUUAACGAGGAUCAAUUAGAGGGCAAGUCUGGUGCCAGCAGCCGCGGUAAUUCCAGCUCUAAUAGCGUAUAUUAAAGUUGUUGCAGUUAAAAAGCUCGUAGUCGGAUGUCGGGCUCGGGCAGGCUGUCGGCUUCGGUCGGACGGCAGGCUCGGGUCUUUCUGCCUGAGGAUCCCGUGCACUUUAUUGUGGGCGGGGGACGCAGGCCGUUUACUUUGAAAAAAUUAGAGUGUUCAAAGCAGGCCUACGCUUGAAUACAUUAGCAUGGAAUAAUGGAAUAGGACUUUGGUGCUAUUUUGUUGGUUUAUGGGACCGAAGUAAUGAUUAACAGGGACAGUUGGGGCCGUUUAUAUUUCGUUGUCAGAGGUGAAAUUCUCGGAUUUACGAAAGAUAAACUUCUGCGAAAGCAUUCGGCAAGGAUGUUUUCAUUGAUCAAGAACGAGAGUUAGGGGAUCGAAGACGAUCAGAUACCGUCGUAGUCUUAACCAUAAACUAUGCCGACUAGGGAUCAGUGGAUGUCAAUUUGCGACUCCAUUGGCACCUUGUGAGAAAUCAAAGUUUUUGGGUUCCGGGGGGAGUAUGGUCGCAAGGCUGAAACUUAAAGGAAUUGACGGAAGGGCACCACCAGGAGUGGAGCCUGCGGCUUAAUUUGACUCAACACGGGGAAACUUACCAGGUCCCGACAUAGUAAGGAUUGACAGAUUGAAAGCUCUUUCUUGAUUCUAUGGGUGGU